ACCUGUACCUAAGUGGGUAGGUUACUAGGUAUCUACUCAUUUCGUGUCCAAUAUAAAAAUACAAAUUGGAUUUUAUUAGUUUAUACGUAUAAAUUUAGAUUUCUAACAAGACUUUCUAACACGUUUAUAAAUAAUUAUAUAAAAAUAAAGCUAGUCCCUUAGAAAAUAAAAUAAAUAUAAUGGAGCCCCGCAAAAUUCUGCACCAGGCCCCGAAAUCCAUUAGAACGGCACUGUACACGUGUCCCGUGGUAUAGUAUUGUAAAAAUAGAAAGAAAUACCUAUCAAAUACGUCCAAUUAGUAAUUUUGUAUUAGACAUUUGUCAUUUUUCACAUUUUAUCUAAAUAGCUGCGGCUCGACCGUACAUACUACAUGGUUCUCACACUCAAACGACAAUAGUAUUGAUAAUAAUAUACUUACCAUUGGCUGUUCGCGCGUUGUAGUCAACGAAAAAAAAAUUUAAUUUUCGUUCCGAUUACUGAUUAGACAUUGCAUCGUUGGUAGUAUAGUUUAAUGUUUCCGAGACGAACGUCCACUACUCCACUCACCGCACCGCAUCGGCUCACAAAAGCACAAGAUCACCGGGAUUUGCAAAUCUAUUAUUCGAUUCGCCGUCGAUAUUCAAUUUUUUUCAAUAAAUUUUAUUGAACACAAUUUUUCUAUACGCUCCAGGAAACGUUUCCGAAAAGAAAUUUCCGAAAACACCGAUCGCGAGCACGCGGCAUUAAUUUGUUAUGCGCGCCGGAUGGGCAUUAUACACAUAUGCCUACGCGUUUUUACGCACAAUACUAAGUGCGGUUUUGCUUAUCAUUUUCAAGUCUGGUCAUGGAAACACUAUAUGAUAUUUUACUAAGUCUCUAAGACCGUGUCUAAUUGGUUAAACUGAACAAUUUGCGUGCCUAAACGUGUGUUUUGAAUAACGGAUUGUUAUUUAUUGGACGGUCAUUUAUUUCAAGCAUUUCGUGGACAAAUAUCUAAAGUUCGACCGAACUGUUCGUACUUAUUUUGAUAUCGCACAGAAAGGGAUUCCAUGCAGUGGAAUAAAAAACCUAAACGCUUCAACCAGCCAACAGGUACACGUAGUCGAAGUAUCGAAAAACCAACUAUCGGCCAUCGGUACACAACAUGCGAUGAAGGUUCAAAAUAUGAAAUUUCUUCACCAUUCUCUCUAUACAUAGUAUUCGUAUAUACAGUAGUAUAGUGGCGGUGAAUUCAUUGCGAC